rnacentral:sRNA from 1 species
UAGUCCAAAUGUUGCACCUUUAUGUGAA